UACGUAGGGUGCAAGCGUUUGUCCGGAAUUAUUGGGCGUAAAGAGCUCGUAGGCGGUCUGUUGCGUCGGCUGUGAAAACCCGGGGCUCAACUCCGGGCCUGCAGCCGAUACGGGCAGACUAGAGUUCGGCAGGGGAGACUGGAAUUCUGGUGUAGCGGUGAAAUGCGCAGAUAUCAGGAGGAACACCGGUGGCGAAAGCGGCGCGCUGGAUCUCUUCUGACGCUGAGGCGCGAAAGCCAGGGGAGCGAACGGG
rnacentral:rRNA from 1 species